rnacentral:rRNA from 1 species
UACGGAGGGGGCUAGCGUUGUUCGGAAUUACUGGGCGUAAAGCGCACGUAGGCGGCUUUGUAAGUUAGAGGUGAAAGCCCAGGGCUCAACCCUGGAAUUGCCUUUAAGACUGCAUCGCUUGAACAUCGGAGAGGUAAGUGGAAUUCCGAGUGUAGAGGUGAAAUUCGUAGAUAUUCGGAAGAACACCAGUGGCGAAGGCGGCGACCUGGGCCAAUACUGACGCUGAGGUGCGAAAGCGUGGGGAGCAAACAGG